rnacentral:rRNA from 1 species
GACGAACGCUGGCGGCGUGCUUAACACAUGCAAGUCGAACGGAAAGGCCCCGCUUUUGUGGGGUGCUCGAGUGGCGAACGGGUGAGUAACACGUGAGUAACCUGCCCUUGACUUUGGGAUAACUUCAGGAAACUGGGGCUAAUACCGGAUAGGAGCUCCUGCUGCAUGGUGGGGGUUGGAAAGUUUCGGCGGUUGGGGAUGGACUCGCGGCUUAUCAGCUUGUUGGUGGGGUAGUGGCUUACCAAGGCUUUGACGGGUAGCCGGCCUGAGAGGGUGACCGGCCACAUUGGGACUGAGAUACGGCCCAGACUCCUACGGGAGGCAGCAGUGGGGAAUAUUGCACAAUGGGCGGAAGCCUGAUGCAGCAACGCCGCGUGCGGGAUGACGGCCUUCGGGUUGUAACCCGCUUUCGCCUGUGACGAAGCGUGAGUGACGGUAAUGGGUAAAGAAGCACCGGCUAACUACGU